GGCAGCUGUGCCAAAUUCAGUGCCUGCCUUAUCCAUGGCCCAAAGGCUGCCACAGAGACAUUGUAACUCAUGGGCCCUGUUCCUCUCUGUUGAGCUUUACCUUAAACA
rnacentral:snoRNA from 1 species